GCAUCUUGCCUGCAAGAGCUUCUGAAUGCUCUGAAAACUCUCUGGUCUUAUGAUGCCUCUACUCUGCAAAAGGAUCAUUGCUGAGGUCAAAUGACUCUCUCUGUCAUCACUCAGUAACUGAACAGCUACACCAGAUAUAGAAUCCUGCCUAGUACUCCUGUCUCUCAGGCAGGACCGUAAAACACUGCAAACAGGAGGAAGCAGGAAGAAGUCACCCAUGAAGUCCUUGCCCCUGAUAAAAAACAAAACUCAUCCGGCCUCUGAAGUCAUAAUAGUUCUUGCAGCUUGGAGUGUGCCGCCAUCCUCCCCAAACACAUCUCGACUCUGAAAGUGACCCUAUGAAGGCUAUGACUGCUAAGCAGCAGGCAGAACAGGCAACCAUGGAGAAGAUUGUAUGCUGAGAUGGAAGACCCAAAAGAUUGAAGCAGCCUGGAUAACUCGGGUACCACACAGAGGACAACUGCCCUAGAGAGUUGCCUUGACCCGCAAAAGACAUUGCCUGAGAUGAAAAUAAACUUUUAUUGUGUUAAACCUUUG
rnacentral:lncRNA from 10 species